AUUGAACGCUGGCGGCAUGCCUUACACAUGCAAGUCGAACGGUAGAGGGGCAACCCUCGAGAGUGGCGAACGGGUGAGUAAUGCAUCGGAACGUGCCCAGUAGUGGGGGAUAGCCCGGCGAAAGCCGGAUUAAUACCGCAUAAGACCUACGGGUGAAAGGGGGGGAUCGCAAGACCUCACGCUAUUGGAGCGGCCGAUGUCAGAUUAGGGAGUUGGUGGGGUAAAGGCCUACCAAGCCGACGAUCUGGAGCUGGUCUGAGAGGACGACCAGCCACACUGGGACUGAGACACGGCCCAGACUCCUACGGGAGGCAGCAGUGGGGAAUUUUGGACAAUGGGCGAAAGCCUGAUCCAGCCAUGCCGCGUGCGGGAAGAAGGCCUUCGGGUUGUAAACCGCUUUUGUCAGGGAAGAAAUCCUUUGGGCUAAUACCCUGGGGGGAUGACGGUACCUGAAGAAUAAGCACCGGCUAACUACGUGCCAGCCGCCGCCGUAACAC
rnacentral:rRNA from 1 species